CUCUCUACGUUUGCAAAAGAAGGACUGAAAGUUAGCGGAAGUAAAUUGAGCAAAAGCUAAUUCGUCCGCUGAUGGUUUUCAAAGUUAGCUGAAAAGCUAAUAAGCUAAAGAAACUUUAGCUCCGCUAAUU